CGCGUUCCGUAUUAAUUGUUUCGCUGGAGCUGUAGGGGUGUUGAUCUAUGUGUGUGUGUGUAUAUAUAUCCCUGCAGCUUGAAGAAGCUAUCAGCAUGGCUGCUCGUCUUAGUGGCCAACCUGCUUGCGGUGGGGCGCCUAGUCUGUCUAAUACCCGUCAGGUGUGCUCGCCAGUGUAGUGUCAUGUUGUUGUGCUCUCUUGUUUGUUGUUGUUGUGGUGUCGUGUGUAUGCGUAGACAAUGCGGAGAGCAUUGCGACCUGGUGACUAUAUUAUUGCCGGCCAGCCCAUACCGGGGCGACAGGGUAGUGCACAGCAAUGUGCGCGAGGCGUAAGAUUGUUGGUGCGUGAACUCGUCUGCAAGGUUUGCCGCCUACGCCCCACCAUGAUAGUUGUUUUACUCAGUGUCGAUAAUGGGUUUGUGCCAUUUUUUGGUGUGCAUUCCCUAGACAAAAAUGUUUUGUGCCAUUUUGGUGGUGCAUGACACAGUUCACGCCUUCUUGGCUGGAGACAGCCGAAGUUCUUGUGGGCAUAAUAAGAUCGGCGGCGCUUUUUGGUGUCUCGUCGGUCGCUUGU
rnacentral:misc_RNA from 1 species